UUUUCCGGUUGAUCCUGCCGGAGGUCACUGCUAUCGGGGUUCGAUUAAGCCAUGCGAGUCGAGAGGGUUCGGCCCUCGGCGUACUGCUCAGUAACACGUGGAUAACCUGCCCUAGGGAAGGGGAUAACCCCGGGAAACUGGGGAUAAUACCCUAUAGGUUACAGAUGCUGGAAUGCUCUGUAACCCAAAGUUCCGGCGCCCUAGGAUGGAUCUGCGGCCGAUUAGGUUGUUGUUGGGGUAAUGGCCCAACAAGCCAGUAAUCGGUACGGGUUGUGGGAGCAAGAGCCCGGAGUUGGAUUCUGAGACACGAAUCCAGGCCCUACGGGGCGCAGCAGGCGCGAAAACUUUACAAUGCGGGCAACCGUGAUAAGGGAACCUCGAGUGCCUGUAAAUGCAGGCUGUUUAGGUGUUUAAAACGCACCUGGAGAAAGGGCCGGGCAAGACCGGUGCCAGCCGCCGCGGUAAUACCGGCGGCUCGAGUGGUGGCCACUUUUAUUGGGCUUAAAGCGUUCGUAGCUGGGUUGUUAAGUCUCUUGGGAAAUCUGGCGGCUUAACCGUCAGGCGUCUAAGGGAUACUGGCAAUCUUGGAACCGGGAGAGGUGAGGGGUACUUCGGGGGUAGGAGUGAAAUCCUGUAAUCCUCGAGGGACCACCUGUGGCGAAGGCGCCUCACCAGAACGGCUUCGACAGUGAGGGACGAAAGCUGGGGGAGCAAACCGGAUUAGAUACCCGGGUAGUCCCAGCCGUAAACUAUGCGCGUUAGGUGUAUCGGUGACCACGAGUUACCGAGGUGCCGAAGGGAAACCGUGAAACGUGCCGCCUGGGAAGUACGGUCGCAAGGCUGAAACUUAAAGGAACGGGAA
rnacentral:rRNA from 1 species